rnacentral:lncRNA from 1 species
AAGGACUAAUAAGCAAAAGCUGAUGAGUUACCACGUGGAUGAAAGUAGACCGUUGAUCAUUACUCAAGGACUGGUUCAGUCUUUUCUUGAUGAGGUUUUUAUUGCAAACUGCAAGACAAAAGUAGAAGAAUUGGCAAGAUUUUCUGAUUUUGUGCUUAAAAACCAGUCUCACUCACAGAAAGAGAGAGAAAGAGAGAGAGAAGGGGCGGGUGCAGAGGGAAAAUAAUCUGUGGGAUGUCUUAAAUUGAGGUUGCAGAGGGGUAGUUGCAGUGGCUGAUGGCGGCGUUUGCAGGGCUGUGACUUUAAUGCAUCAAAGAAAAAAAAAAGACGAAAUUUAAUUCAAGAGAGAGAGUGAGAACCAACGAAUUUAUCUUUCCAUUCCAUUCCAUGUCCUAAAAAAUUCCUAAAUUUUGUCCUGAAAAGCAGCUAAUAAAAGAGAACGAAACCCCCAAAAAAUCACACAGUGAGAGUGUGUCAGUGAGCAGAGUUAGCAGCACAAAACACUCGCACACUCAAAUACAUUCACAUAUACGUCUAUACUAGGUAGUAUGUAGUAUAUUCAAGAUUGCAAUUUUGUCUCUCUCUCUCUCUCUCUCUAUCUAAUACAUACGCACACUGGCUAGGCUGAGGCUUUUUGGCUAUGGAUUUUGUCUUAAAAUUGAAAUUGGAUAUAGCUUCUAGGGGUGGAAAAUGUCUGGGUUUUUCUCACUAGGUGGUAAGAAUCAAGAACAAGAACACAUUCAAGAUAAUAACAAUAGCCUUUUUCUGUUCAAGAACGAAGAGAUCUAUAGCAAGGGUUUUGAGAUAUGGCAACAGUACUAUCAGUUGCAUCAACAAAAGCUACAAAAUCAUCUGGAUGUGGAUUUCUCGGUUGGACCCAGUAGUAGGAGUAAUAAUAUAUCAGGUGAUGAUUCUUCGAACUAUAGUUAUAGAUCAGCAGGGGCAGCAGCAGGGUUUAGGGUCAUGAUGAGGCAAGGAAGAGGCGGGGGUGAGGGCAUGAAUUGCCAAGAUUGUGGGAAUCAAGCUAAGAAAGAUUGCCCACAUAUUAGAUGCCGAACUUGCUGCAAAAGCCGAGGAUUUCAGUGCCAUACCCACGUCAAGAGCACCUGGGUUCCGGCUUCUAAAAGGCGCGAGAAGCAACAGCAACAAGUGCAAGAUCAAAACCAGUUGACACUGAGAGGGGAAAUUCCGAAGAGGCAAAGAGAGAUUCCUGGUGGUGAUGGUGGUGGUUCUUCUUCUCUUGCCUGCACUACUACUCGUUUACCCACCAACACGUCAGGUAAUGUUGUAGUUUUCAAUACAAACAAAAUGGGAUUUGAAAAAUGAACAACAUCGAUUUGAUGGGUUUCUUGUUUUCAACUUCGAAUUCUCAAAUAGAUAAAUAGUUGAAAGAACAAAUGAAGCAUAUGAUCCAUACAUACACACAUCAUUUGCGUGAGAUGAAAGAAGUCUAAUUUCUAUAUGGCCACACCACCAACUACCUGCCUUUUCUUUCUUCUACUGUUAAAGAGUAAAACUGACGCAAGAAUUUGUGAAAAUACUUUCUUCUUCAAGAUUUUUUGUUUUCCUUUUAGGAGACAAACACAUGAAUCCAUAUGGUUUGUUUUUGUUUUAUUGGUUCUUGAUUAGGGUUUGAGUUGGGGAACUUUCCAGCAGAAGUGAAUUCUUCCGCUGUUUUUCGCUGCGUAAGAGUGAGUGCAAUGGAUGAUGCUGAGGAGCAGUAUGCCUACCAGACGGCUGUCAAUAUUGGAGGCCAUGUUUUCAAAGGAAUUCUCUACGAUCAGGGCGCUGAAAGCCGCUAUCCGGGGGAGAGCUCCUCCGGC